rnacentral:tRNA from 1 species
GAGAUGUUAGUAAACCAAUUACAUAGCCCUGUCAGAGCCAAGUCACAGGUAAAACNNCCCUGUACAUCUCC